GUUAGAUUAACUUUAAUUAGAAUACCAUUUCCGUGCACAUGAAACUGUUACUCUGUUAGUAUAAGUAUUAUCGAUCUAUAUUAUCCUCAUGAUGCAUCAUAUUAAAAUUUAUUUUCUAAAGUUUCUUUAUGAUUGCAAUGUUGGUUUCAUCGCAAUAAUCUUGGUGUGAUUAACUCUUAAAAAAAUAUAUAUUUGAAUAAAUGUGGUUAAUGCAGCUGCAAUUGUGAAACACCCAAAAAAAAACUUCAUGUUAUGGUUGAAAUUAAUCGUGACCUGGAACCAUUUUUUAAAACUUUGAUAUUUUCAUUCGGUAUAAAUUAUUGACAUACUGUCAAUACACAUGCUCAUCGUAGUGUUAUUAUACACUUGCCAUAUCUAUCUUAACAAUUUAAUUUAUAUCAUACAAGGGUAAGUUAUAUCAAUGCUAAUAAUUUUAAAGUUUAUCAUUUUUCUUAUUUAAGAAUGGCAAUUUAAAAAAAAAAAAAAA